CAAUUUAGUAAGAAGGAAAGGGAAAUUUCUGCCUCCAUUUGAAAAAGAACUUCGCAGUGAUAUGUCUUGACUCAGUCAUCAUGUUUUUCUGUGUAACAUUGUGCAUGACCAUGUGUGUCCUUCAGACUUGCAUUCCUUUGUUGCUCUUUCUCGCAUUUUUUGUGCCACUGACUGGUUGCCUCCUGUUUUUGACCAUUUACACUGUUGUCAUAUGUAUAUCCUUGGAUCGUCCGGACUGGAUUGCAUGUGUUUUUGUAUACUUUUUACCUGUGCAUGUAACUAUUAAACACACCACAUGUUGCAA
ensembl:lncRNA